rnacentral:rRNA from 1 species
CAGCCGCCGCGGGAAUACGUAGGGUGCAAGCGUUAAUCGGAAUUACUGGGCGUAAAGCGUGCGCAGGCGGUUAUAUAAGACAGAUGUGAAAUCCCCGGGCUCAACCUGGGAACUGCAUUUGACUGUAUAGCUAGAGUACGGCAGAGGGGGAUGGAAUUCCGCGUGUAGCAGUGAAAUGCGUAGAUAUGCGGAGGAACACCGAUGGCGAAGGCAAUCCCCUGGGCCUGUACUGACGCUCAUGCACGAAAGCGUGGGGAGCAAACAGGAUUAGAGACCCGCGUAGUCCCUGUCUCUUAUACAC